UUGUUGGUGGUAUAGUGGUAAGUAUAGUUGUCUUCCAAGCAGUUGACCCGGUUCAAUUCCCGUCAACGAA